rnacentral:rRNA from 1 species
UCGAGGAUCUUCGGCAAUGGGCGCAAGCCUGACCGAGCGACGCCGCGUGUGGGAUGAAGGCCUUCGGGUUGUAAACCACUGUCGAGGGGGAGAAAGCCGCAAGGUUGAUCUAUCCCUGGAGGAAGCACGGGCUAAGUUCGUGCCAGCAGCCGCGGUAAGACGAACCGUGCGAACGUUGUUCGGAAUCACUGGGCUUAAAGGGCGCGUAGGCGGUACGCCAAGUCUGGGGUGAAAUCUUUCGGCUCAACCGGAAAAUGGCCUGAGAUACUGGCGUGCUCGAGGGAGGUAGGGGCAGCGGGAACUGCCGGUGGAGCGGUGAAAUGCGUUGAUAUCGGCAGGAACGCCGGUGGCGAAAGCGCGUUGCUGGACCUCUUCUGACGCUGAGGCGCGAAAGCUAGGGGAGCAAACGG